CCAAAGUGGUCCCAGGUGGCCCAAAGUCCAUCCCUGGUUGCCAAAAGUGGUCCCAGGUGGCCCAGGGUCCAUCCCAGGUUGCCCCAAGGCCACCACGGCUCCUCAGACCCCCCCGGGAUCCCCAAAAAUCCCAAAAAAAUCCCCCAAAAAAUCCCC